rnacentral:lncRNA from 1 species
CAUCUAUUCAUCUCCACCACCACCACCAAAGCCUUACUACUACCACUCUCCACCACCACCGGUGCACUCACCACCUCCUCCUUACCAUUACAGUUCCCCACCACCACCUCCAAAGAAGCCAUACAAAUACGCUUCUCCUCCACCUCCAGUUUACAAGUACAAAUCACCUCCUCCACCAGUGUAUAAGUAUAAGUCUCCUCCUCCACCACCGAAGAAGCCAUAUAAAUAUCCAUCUCCACCACCACCAGUUUACAAGUACAAGUCACCUCCUCCACCAGUUUACAAGUAUAAAUCUCCUCCACCACCAGUUUACAAGUACAAAUCACCUCCUCCACCGGUGUACAAGUAUAAAUCCCCUCCUCCACCAGUGUACAAGUACAAGUCUCCUCCACCACCACCUAAGAAGCCAUAUAAAUACCCAUCUCCACCACCGCCAGUUUACAAGUACAAAUCACCUCCACCACCGGUGUACAAGUACAAAUCUCCUCCACCACCAGUUUACAAGUAUAAAUCCCCUCCUCCACCAGUGUACAAGUACAAGUCUCCUCCACCACCACCAAAAAAGCCAUAUAAAUACCCAUCUCCCCCACCACCAGUUUACAAGUACAAAUCACCUCCUCCUCCAGUUUACAAGUAUAAAUCUCCUCCACCACCAGUUUACAAGUAUAAGUCACCUCCUCCCCCAGUUUACAAGUACAAAUCUCCACCACCACCACCCAAGAAACCAUACAAGUAUCCAUCACCACCACCACCAGUUUACAAGUAUAAGUCUCCCCCUCCACCUGUCUACUCACCACCACCAGUUUACAAGUAUAAGUCUCCUCCUCCACCUGUCUAUUCACCACCUCCACCAUAUAAGUACAAAUCUCCACCACCUCCUCCUUAUAAGUACCCAUCACCACCACCACCAGUUUACAAGUACAAGUCACCUCCUCCCCCAGUUUACAAGUACAAAUCUCCACCACCACCACCCAAGAAACCAUACAAGUAUCCAUCACCACCACCACCAGUUUACAAAUAUAAGUCCCCUCCUCCACCUGUAUACUCACCACCUCCACCAGUUUACAAGUAUAAGUCUCCUCCUCCACCCGUCAAUUCACCACCUCCACCAUAUAAGUACAAAUCUCCACCACCUCCUCCUUAUAAGUACCCAUCACCACCACCGCCAGUUUACAAGUACAAAUCACCUCCUCCUCCAGUUUACAAGUACAAAUCUCCACCACCACCACCCAAGAAACCAUACAAGUACCCAUCACCACCACCACCCGUUUACAAAUAUAAGUCCCCUCCUCCACCAGUUUACAAGUAUAAAUCUCCUCCUCCACCUGUUCACUCACCACCUCCACCACACUAUGUCUACUCUUCACCUCCUCCUCCGGUCUAUUCCCCUCCUCCACCACAUUACAUAUAUUCAUCACCUCCUCCUCCUUACCACUCUUAGAUAACGGUUUACCAUAGUAUCCCAUGGUAUGCUUCUUUUUUAGUACGACCAAUAUCUUUAUGAUUAAAAUGCUUCGAGAAAUACUAAUUUAUAUAUCAACAAAAUAUAUGUAUUUUAUCAACGAAACAAUUAAAUAAGAGAAUCAAAAUUAGUGAUUUGAAUAGUUUUACAUGCCAACACAUGCAAGUCGUUAUAUAGACCUCACAUUCAUUUUAUUCUUAUUAUUCUUAUAGUCUAAAUAGUACAAUUUUCUUGAAACGUCUAAAUUGACAUACAUCUUAUGGUACAGUUUACAAAAAUCAAUCUAAGCCUAUUUUAUUUCUAUUUAUAGUAUUAUAUGUAAAUAGAAAAAAUAUACAAACUAAAAGGAAAGUUGACAGUUAUGUUUCUUAUUAAUGCUUCUCACUCGUAUUGUUCUUUGAGUGCUUAAUUAAUGUGUUUAUGUGUUUGUAUAUACUUUUGUAGGGAUUAAGGAAUAUUGGAAAUAAAGAGAACAUAGUGCAAAGCAGGAAGAUGCAUUUAGCAAUAAGGGAGAAAAACAACGGAAGCAAAGUUUCCAUGCAUUUUGGUCUCAGAAAAAGUCACUUUGUUUUUCUUAUUUGUUUGUAUAUGAAUUAUUAUUCUCAUUAUUGAGUUUGGUUAUUGAAUUUAGACAGGUGUAAUACACUGUGUGUAAUAUCGUGAAUGCAUUUUGUUUUGGAACCUACUCUUUGCAAGGGGUUGGUUGGGAAAAUAAAAUUGAAUAUUUGUUCUACUAAUUCUUUGCAUAUUUAUUGUGAAAUUACAAUAUAAUCAAUGCUCAACUAAUUAUUUUUUUCAACAGAAAACUAAUGCAUUUCAUUAAAAAUUAAAGGACCAAUAUAAAGGAGAAUGUCAAAUUAUAAAGCUAAGAAUUUCUGAAAAAAAAAAUAAAGUUGAGAACUGACGCUGUAUAUGUUUAGCUUAGCAAAGGUGCAUUGUGCAUCCAUAUUAGUCUCUCUCCUACAAAACUCGACAUAAGAAUUAUUACAUAAUAACGAUAAAGUACUACAAUAUCUACUUAAAAUAGAAUCUACAUAUCAAUAGCUGUUAAUAAGUUUAAAGUCUCACCCUCACUCAAUAACUUAUUUAAGCAUUGAAUGUUCAAUCCAAUUGCUAUUAAUUUCGACAAGCCGGUCCUAAUUUACUCUCUCUCGGUUUUCUCUUCCAGUUUCUUCAUUGAGGAGUUAUUUUGGGUCAAUUAUUGACCUGAAAUCACUCCUCUUCAUCUUUUUAUGCCUAUUUCAAUCUAAAUAAGUGAUUUUCACAUAGAUUUAGGUUUUUUCUUUGUGGUUUUAUCAUCUAAGUGUGGUGGUUUGUUGUUCGUCGUCUUGUGCGGCGUUGUUCGAUUUCACGUUUCUUGCGGUGUUCAUUUAAUUCAUAUUGAAAGAUUGAUUAUUCAAUCGAAGAUUUGGGCGUCAACGUUGCAGAUCCGGAUGCUAUGGAUAUUCCGGUCACUUUAAUUUUAUCAUAUAUUUUUUGUUGUGAAAACCACACCAAUAAUAAACUUGAUGCGUGGAGCAAAUUAAUACCAAGUAAUCAAAUCAAGCGGGUAGCAAAUAAUUCAAACAAAAGUAAACGACAAGAGAUAAAAGGAAAGAAGGAGAACACAAGAAUUUGUUUACCCAGUUCGGUCUAAUGAUGACCUAGUCUAGGGGAGAUAGCAGCUCUCUGCUUCACUAUAAUGAUAUGAGUUUCUUUACAAAGAGAUAUUGAAUUACAAGAAUCAGUCUUCAAACCUAAUUCUACCCAAGUCCCAGCCUCUUCCCGUGACCAAGAGACUCAAUCCUAAUGGUGCUUUGUUCAACGUGAAUCAAAACAAUCCCAACCCUAGUGUUUGUUGCCAAGAGAAAUUCUCUAUAAACCCUAUUUUCUACACAGUGUUUUGUUUCUACACACUCUCAGUCUCUCAAAUAUUCAUAUGAUACAAAGCUUAUAUUUAUAGUGGAAAGCAUUCCUCAAAAAUUGGAAACAGGCCCACAAGCUGUUUUAUUUUUCUCAUCUUGCGAGAAAUCGGCCAUCAAGUUUGGAAAAUCGGCCACCGAUUUUUCACGAGACAAAAGUCUCCAAAACCAGGUCAAAAUCGACCACCGUGUGGUGUAACACCCCAUUCCCAAAUAUAAUUUAUUUAAAUGAAAUAAACACACAUCAGAGUAAUAAAUCCAAAUGGGCAUGUCACACUACAUUUUCAAAUUUCUGAAAUAGAAUAUAAAAAAUCUAUUUAUUAAACAUCCAAUGAAAUCAUCAUUUAAUAUGCAGCGGAAUAUUAUCAACGAAACGUCAACAACUGUUUAAACCUCCAAAAUAAUAUCUCAGCAUAAAAAGCCUCAACCAGAAUAAUUCAUCAACCAUAGGGCUACAACAACAUUAACCAAAAUUUGAUACAUAGAAUGAAAGAAAACAAUAAAAUCCCAUCCCACGUAUCAGAGCCCUAGACACUUUGAGCCACCACCUACUACUCAGGAUCACCUGCAAGUUACCCAUAGGAAGGGCAACAUUUCCAAGCAGAAGGGGUGAGAUUCUCAAUCAAUAAAAAUAAAAUAUAAUAACAUCAAUUGAAAAUCUAGCACCUUACAACAUCAAUGAUUAUUCAAUAAGCAUAGGUAUUUCAUAAUCGACAACAAUCAUUCAAAUAUAGAAUUCAAUCAACAAUGCAACUCAUGAUAUGACAUGACACCCCCCUUUAAUACUCCUCAAUAAAUGCAACUAUGCAUGUGGUACCAUAAUUCAGGGCCAUGACCCACACCACUGUCGAAUGGUUAAAGCAUUCUCAGCAGGACCUAAGUCCUCACCGCUCCACACCGCUUUGAACAACUAGUGUUCCACCGCUUUGAACGACAAGGCGUUCCAGAGCCGAAGCUCUCCCACUUUGAUGUUUAUGCAACUACCCCACCUGUGUAUAUCUACAUACAACUCGACCACUACAUAUGUAUCAUAUGACUUACUACUCCACAACUCAAACAAUCCAGACUUACACAAUUAUUUAUAAUUAUGCACAUACAUCAAUCAUCUCCGACAUUCACUAACACCAAUCAAUCCAAUCACUGGCUAGUUUAAAUAGGAUUUGGUCACCUACACCAGGGUUAUAUUAGUUAAAGAGGAAGUUAAAGAACGCUCAAGAAGUCCCCUCAUGCACUAAGCAACAGUUCAGAAAAGGCUGAUUAAGGUUCACUUCGCUUAAGCGACGGCUAGUUCGCUUAAGCGACCAGCUUACAGUAGGUUCUGGGUUCAGUUCGCUUACGGGUCGCUCACGGUUCGCUUGAGCGAACUUUGGACAGAAUGAAAAUGGUUUUUCGCUCACAGGGUCGCUUACCAUUCGCUUAAGCGAAAUCUUGGCAGAACCAAACUUAAUUUUCGCUUACCAGUUCGCUCACGGUUCGCUUAAGCGAACGGGUAAAAUCGCAUUCUGGGCAGCUUGCUUGAAUGCUCGCUUAAGCGACGGAUGCUUCGCUUAAGCGACCACUCAUCUGGGCAGUGCAAAACCUACGGUUUCAGACCUCUUCUCACUCCAAAAACCCCAUUUUAAUCCCCUGAUCACCCAAAAUGUUUUCCAACAGAUGUUUACAGGUCCUAUAUACAACUAGGCAUUACAAAGAAACACAAUUCAGCCAUCAACAACAACAAUUAUAGAAUCAUUCCACCAUCACACAAUAUUUCAUCAAUUCAUACAAUUCAUCCAAAAUUCAAUCAAUUCAUGGAUUACAGCAACAACAUGGAUUAAGAUUUCGUUCUUAACAUUAAAUUCCAAGAAACUAACAUCAUCUUUACUCAUUCCAUCAGAAUCAUCAUCAAACCCUAACUUUCAUCUUAUUUUCCAAAACUAUUCAAUUAGGUCAAUUUCAGAAAUUAUAGAUUAUGAUUAUUGAGAGAUAGUCUCACCCUUACCUUAGUUUUGCAGAAAAUUAGACAGCAAGGAUCGAUUUCUAGGCUCUCCUCUCUAGCUCUUGCUCUUCUUCUCCCUUUUCCCAAAACUUGUCUGUUGUACGUGAAACUGUUUUCUGACUAUUCCUUUUCCUAACUCCCCAAAACUAUAACUCCCCCUAUUACAUUAAACUCCAUUAAUUUUUAUUAAAUUCUAAUUAACUCCCUAAUUUCUAAAAUAAUAUUAAUUUCCAGUUAUUUUAAUUAUUAUUAUAUUAAACUAUAUAAUAAAAUGCACACACCACAUAAAUCACCAAAAAUCAUAUAAAAUCACAUUUGAGACUCCACAUAAUUCAAAAUAAAAUAAAAUAAUACUAGGGCGUUACAUGUGGUACAAAUUGGACACCGAAUUUGACAGACAGGAUGCACAUUUUUGAGUCACUUUUCAACAUUUUUGUAGGCAUUAUGUCGUUAUAUGCUAUUAAUUAACUUUGAUGUUGUGAGUUUAUUAGCAGAUUCAUCCUUUAAGUUUUUAGCGGUGUUGAAUGAUGUAAUCUCGAUUUGAAUGAAUGAAUAUCAUUUUAUUUUUGUAAAAAAAAAAAAAAAAAAAACUAUAUACAUCAUUACUGUAAUUUUUUUUACAACAUGUAUCAAUCAUUUUGUUACAUUUUGUAUUAGUUACUAAAGUAUAUCUACAAAUAGUCUAUGUCGUUAAUUGUGAUCGAAUGCACACAGAUUUUUACAUUAAAAUUUUGCAAACCAUCAAAGUUAAAAAAACAUGCAUAGAACAAACCUUGGGAUAUGUAUUCGAGAUGACGAAAACACUUUUUGUGUUGGAUAAAACUUUGUCCAUCACUGCAAUGUAUAAGCAUACGGGAGAAGUUUUGGGUUUUUUCCAAUCGUUACACUAAUUAAGUGAUAUGUAAUUUGACAAUGUUGACUUUACAUUGUACUCAAAGAUUAUUACAAAUGGUUUCCAUCAUCAUCGUGUUCAUGUUACAUAAUUUGGUCAAGUGAUUUCAGCUUACAGGGGCCUCUUUAAUACUUAUUUCACAAACUCUUAGGACGAGUUUAACAGACGACAAACCAAUGAGGUAGUUCACAUCCUUGUUGGGUUGUCAAAUUAUCAACUAAUCUCACUAUUUAUUCGCAUGUAAUUCGUUGUAUAAGCACUCUUAUUAUUAAUUAAACUAGCGAGUUAACCCGUGCAAUGUAUGAGCGACAUAUGCUACUAUUUUUUAAUCUCCAAAAUUAUAUUCUUUUUUUUGUUUUUUUAUAUAUCACUAGCGAAAAGACAAGCACUCUCGUGCCCGUCUUUCCGCUCUUUUUAUUGCGUUAAUGUUUGAAAAUUAUGAACAAUAUUUUUUUAUGAAAUUUUGAUUUUGAUUAAAACUAUAUAUAUAUAUAUAUAUAUAUAUGUUUGUUGCUUUAAAAUUAUAACAAAUCAAACUAAUCAUGAUUAUCUAUUUCAUUGAAACCAACAAUAUAACAAAAAAAAUAUAAUCUAAACUCUUAUUUUUUUAAUGACACCAACAACGAUCUUUAUUAUAGAAAAAGUUAUUUGAGGGUAUAAUUGAAAUAGUAAAAAAGUAAGUAUAUAAAAAUACUCAUCUAGUUUGUUAGACAUUUUAAAAGAUAAAAGAAAAAAAUUAGACAUAUAUAUAUAUAUAUAUAUAUAUAUAUAUAUAUAUAUAUAUAUAUCGUGUUUCUUACACUUUUAUUUUAAUACAUGAAUUUGCUUUAAUCUAUUUGUUUUGUGUUAUUUGUAUUGAAAGUUAAGGGUAAUUUUGGAAAGAGAAAAAUUCAGCCUAAAAGAGUCUAAAUAUGCUAUUUUCUUUAUAUAUAGUAUAAAUUAACUAACAUUUUAUAAGUUAUAGCCGGCCCUAGUUUUCUAGUGAGAGAAACUCCAACUUCUCUCUAGACUUUCUUUCUCCUUCGUUCAUCGAGGAGGGGUGGUUUUAGGUCAUUUUUUGACCUAGAAUCACCCCUCUACAUCUUUUUUCCCCUUUUCUUUCAAUCUAAAUAAGUGGUUUUCACAUCUAUCAAGUUUUUCGUUUUGUGUUUUUUGUGAUUUCGUCGUCUAAGUGCGGCGUUUGAUUUCGCGUCUUGUCGCGGUGUUUGUUCAGUUCCUAUUGAAAGAUCUACAUCAAUCAAUUACAAAUUCAAGCAAUGAUUUGGAUGUCAACGUUGCAGAUCCGGAAGCAUGGGUAUUUCGGUGAUUUAGGUUUGAUCAUAUUAUUUGUAGGCAUUUUGCUGUUGUAUGCUAUUAACUUGGGUGCUGUGAGUUUGCUCGCAUAUUCACCCUUUACAUUUUUAGCGAUGUUUGUAUCUGAUGUACUCUAUCGAUUUGAAUGAAUGAAUAUCGUUUUGUUUUUGUAAAAUAAAAAGUGUUUUUUUUUUUUUUUUAUAUUUUUUAUUAGUGACAAAUAUUUGACCCAUACAUUUUUUAUGUAUUAAUGAUAAAUAUUUGUUCUAGUUUUCUAAAUUUAUAAUGACAAAUAUAUCUUAUGUGUUUAUCAUUGACAAAUAUUUGACACAUUUUUUUAUAUAUUUAUCAGUGGUAAAAACCUCAUAAAGAACCUAUGUUAAAUACUUGUUCCGUACUUUUUUAAUUGAUCAAUUACAAAUAUUAGUCCCAUGCUUUUUAAUAUUUUUUGUUCAAUUUUUUAAAAUAUUUAUCAAUUAAUUUAGGGUUAACAGGCCUUUACCCCCUACAAUGAUAGGCGAAUACUUGACCCUAGAGCUCUAAAAUGUGUUUUUGUUGGCUAUUCCUCCACUUAAAAAGGAUAGAAAUGUUACCAUCCUUCGUACAAACAAUUCUGUGUCUAGAGAUGUUACAUUUCAUGAAGAGGAAGCUUUUUUCAAACAACCUUAUCUUCAGGGAGAGAAUUUAAGAGAAGAUAAGGAAAUAAAUCAUGAAAUCCUUGCUCUUCCUAUCCUUGAGUUUGCUUGUAUCCUAAGGUUGACAUAACCUUAGAGAACCUUUCAAACCAUGCUCAGGGUGAUUGUUUCAAUCCAUAUAAUGCCUUUUUCAACCUGCAUAUAGAAUUGGCAGCAAGAUUUUUACAAUAUUCUGGCGGUACCUCCAUAUAGAUUUCCUCCUCUAGUUCCCCAUGCAGGAAAGCAUUUUUCACAUCAAAUUGCUGCAAUUCCCAACCAUAAAAGGAAUGGAAAUGCAAUAAUUGAAGCUUAUACUGAUGAUGACCAUGCGGGGUCAAUUACAGACAAGAGGUCCACUACUUGAUAUUGUACCUUUGUUGGAGGAAAUUUAGUAACUUGGAGGAGCAAAAAACCGAAAGUGGUGGCUUGCUCUAGUGUUGAAGCUGAGUUUUGAGUAUAACAUAAGGUAUUUGUGAACUACUUUGGCUGCAAAUUAUUUUAGAAGAUUUGAAGAUAAAAUUGGAUGGACCUAUGAAGUUCUAUUGUGAUAAUAAGUCAGCAAUCAACAUAGCUCAUAAUCCCGUUCAACAUGAUCGAACAAAACACGUUGAGGUGGAUAGGAAUUUUAUCAAAUAUUUUUAUAUUUAUUAGUGACAAAUAUUUAUUUCACGUUUUCGGAUAUAUUAGUGACAAACAUUUGUCCUAUGUUUGUUAUGUAUCAGUUAUUAAUAAAUGUCUUGUGUAUAUUUAUCAUUGAUAAGUAUGUGUCCCGUGUUUUUAUUUUAUUUUAUUUUUUAUAUUCUUCGAUCUUAAAGCAACGAUGAUAGAUCAAGACCUAGAGUGAUAAUUGGUGCCAUUUAACAAAGAGUUUGCAAGAACAUUCCCAAGAUUUUUAUUUGGAUGCAUGAAAUAUGGAUUUAAGGUAUCAUUCUGGUAACCUUUGUGAUGAUGAGAAUCGUGUCCUCCAUUGACACUUCCAGCAAUACUAUCCAUAGACAUGAUGAAUCAACGAAAGGGAUUCACAGAGAAAAGAAAGAAGAGAUAUUUUUACAUUCUUAUGACAUAACUAACUACACACUAACUAUGAUUAAGACUAGAGAUGACUAUAGUUAGGAUGUUACAACUAACUGUUAACUGCCUCAAUAACUUGCAGAGCAACUUACUUAGUGUUCACUAUGUUUUGUUGUUGACAAAAUUCUUAUUUGAUGUUUUAAAAAUUACAAACAUAUUAAAUUUAUUUCAUCUUGUUAUCUACUAACUUGUUCUGUGAUAAUUAUUUCAUGAGAAUGAUCACGACAACAUUCUGGUAUCAUAAGACAAACAAAGCAGUUACGUCAAAAGACAAAUCAGCAAAAAGGCAAAAUUUAGCUUUACAAGAAUAUUUAACUUUUGAAUUAUUAAUAUCAAGAUCAAGACAUUUAUAUGCCUUAUUAAAGGAAGACAUAUAAUGUUCUGUCGAAAAGAAAAAAAAAAGAUAUUUAAUCAUUGUUGAUUGGCAAAAUGAAGAAAGAAAUGUUUUGGGCCUUAAAGAAGAUUUUUUAUCCAUUAAGGAAAAGAAACAAGUCCAUUAAAGAAAAAUAUCUCAUAAAGGCUUUAAGCACAUGUGAAUUAAAUGUGACAUCAUCAAAAGGACAAAAGAAUGACAUAAGCAUGUCACUUCUGACAACUAUCAACAACUCAUUAUAGCCGGAUAACUCUCACGUGGAAGCAUAAAGUAAGCUGGACAUCCAUAACCUUCUGGAUGUGUAAAUUAACAUUCUAGUCGUGUUGAAGAAGAAAAGUGAAAUCAAUUGAAACUUUGGAUAUCUAUAAAAAUGUGCCCAACAACUCUAUUUUCAUAGUUUAUCACCAACACACUCCACAUCUAUAAAUACAUGAAGACAUGAAGAAUCAAAACAAGUGUUUUGAAAGCAAGCAUUCUCUCGAGUGAAAAUCAUCACUAUAUACAAACUCUUCACAAACAAACAAAUUCUAAGUUCUCUCAAUAUAUCAUUUGGAUGAUACUCAUUCAAAUUUGUUUAUUUAAAUCUCAAACAUGUGUUGAGAAUUUCAUUUGAUCCAAACCCACCUCAUCAUACAAAGUGUAUUGUGUUCUCAAGUCUAUUGCUAACAAUAUUUUGAGAAGAAUUGACAACCUUUCUUGUCCAGAAUUAAAAAAUUGUAGAAGCCUACUAAGGUUUAUUUUACAGGAUUUAACGAACUGAUCUGGUGUGAUCAAGAAUUUAUGGUGCUAGUCAUAAGUUUCUGUUAGCAUGAUACUAUAGUGGAUAAUCUUACACAAGGUGUGGGGACUGAAAGUAGCCGAGUUUGGUGAACUAUGAUAAAUCUCAGGUGUUAUUCUUCUUCCCUUUCUCUCUUUAAUACUUAAUAAUCUCUCCAAAAUAUUGUGGUCCUAAUUAAUCACAAUCAAAUUAAUCCAAUGUUUUCUGGUCCUAAAUUGUUUCAUUUAAUAUUAAUUAUACAGAUGCAUUCAGAACAUUCUGAUGCAAGAUAAAACAAUUACAUAAAUAACUAAAGACAAACUCACGUUUAAAAUCAAAUUAUAAUAUUAUUUUAUCAUUCUGUUUUAUUCUCCAGAACAUUCUGGUCCUUGUUAAAAUAGUUUUACAUUUCAGCUUAAUAUCAUUUUUCUCAUUCUUCUUAUAUAUUAAAUAUAUAAUCAUUUAAUCAAAAACAUUAUGGUCCUAGAUAAAAAAGAAUUGUUAUAUAUCAAACACUCUAAUCUAAUUAGACUAACAUUUACCAAGAACCUUCUCUACUAAACAAACUUAUUUAAGUUUCAGGAAUAAUUUUAAAAGGGUCACAAUUCACCUCCUCCUCUUGCGACGUUUCUUGCUACUUCAUGUUCAACAUAGGAUUUUAUAUCACAACCAAGCGACUUUUUCACACCCACACACCCAUUAGUUAUCUAGCUGUAAUAAAAGCAUGUAAUUGAAUGAAUUAAAUGAAAAAGGAGUUAGGGUUUCAAAUAACAACCAUAUAGAUUUAGGGGUGGCCCUGAGGGCAGGCAGGAGGGGCAGUAACCUAGGGCACCAUUUUUUAAGAGGCACCAAAAUUAUUAUUUUUACUUAGUAGUUAGUACUAUAUAGAUAUAUUUCUUUUUAAUUCGUUUUGAUUAAUUAUAUUAAAAAUAUAUUUUUAGAGAACUUUAAUUGUAAAUGAAUCUUUUGUAACAAAAACUGCAAGAAGGAAAAUAUUGAAAUAAAUAAAACAACACAAUUUUAUUGUUUCGUCCAUGACACCAAAAAUCUCAGAACCAGCCCUGAGAAAGACUAUAAUGUUGUGGGGCCGCAUCUUUUCUUUUCUUAACAUGAAUGUGAAGAAAGACGAGAGAUUAUAAAAUUUAGAUAUUUUCUACGCUGCCCUUCUCUCUCUUCAUGUUUGUCUUUUGCAAAAUAACAUCAUUGUAAAAAUUAAAUUUAGUAUCUUAUACUCCCUCCAUUCCUUUUCUUUUAAUGUUUUAGAACUUUAAAUAUAUUCCAAAACUUUUGAUGUUUUAGUGAAUUUAUUAUUGUUUUCUCAAGUUUACCCUUUUCUUCCGAAGCAUAAAGAAUAACCUUCAACCAAGACAUAAACUCAAAAAGAAAAUGUUUAAAUUAAUAAUAAUAUUGAUUUUUAUGUUUGUUUUUUAUUGAACACGUAGAAAAUUGGUUUUCAAACAAACAUAACGUUUGGGAGAGUAUGUAACACUUGAGUUCGAUUCUAGAAUUGUCUAUUUGGAAGGCAGCUCAAUCUUGUAUAAAAAUAUGUCUCACAUUCAACUUGAAAUUAAAUGUCAUAGCUUGGUUAAACUAGAGCCAUGGACAGAUAAAGAGACUAUGUGAUCAAAUGUGGCUAUUUUGAUACAAGUCAUUUUGCCUUUUAAAAAAGAAAAAAUGAAUAGAUUUAAAGCAAUUGGUUAACAAAUCCAAGUCACACCUCAUCAAGGAAGGAAAAGUCAGCAUUUACUUAGCAUUCACAUAUCAAGACUUUUUGUUUAUGUUAGGCAAUUGUCCUACCUCAGGAACAAAGAGAAGAGGCCAAAAAAUAAGGUUAAAUAAUGCAAAGUCUCUGAUUCGAAGUACUUUGACUCUUUUUGUGGAUUUUAGGGAUGUUUGGUGGGUAACCUACACCAUUCAAUCAUUCCCAUCAUAUAAUUAAAUGAAUCUCACUUAAUAAAAUCAAGAAUCAUAUCCUGUUCUUCAUCAAAAUCAUAUUCCAAACCAAAUGAGUGUAUGACAUACGCUACAUAAAUUAUAAUAGAGUCUUGUUAACCAUUGUUCGGACAAUGGUUAAGGAACUUAAAAGUAGUAUGUUUGCAUUGGUUUUAAUAACUUUUAACUUUUAAAAAGUUAAAUUUAUCAGUUUUUAUCAUUUUUCAAUACUAUAUUUAUAUUUUUAUCCUCCAAUACCUCAAGAGCAAUGAUUAGCAUUCUCAUCCGUAAUAAUAUGAUUUACAUUUAAGAAAUUCAAGCCACCUUAGUCAUUAUUAAUCAUAUCCUCGAUUUUGACUUGUAAUAGGAGCUAGAACAGCUAGCGCAACAAUAAAUUUUUUGACAAAUACAUGUCCAUCAACAAGGACAGACAAAAUAUUUAAUUUUGUAAGAAAAAAAACUCAUUCAUAAAAUUAUAAUCAUGUUAAUAUAUGCUCUACGAACACAUGUUAAGAAUUCAAUAAAUAAUAACCAUUUAGACACAUGCUCGGAAACCACAUCAAACCAUAAGACGAGGCAAUGAUAUGCAAAUCACAUUUGGAAUCCUUCAACAACCAUAUAGGUUUUUCACACAUUCGAAGACCGUUAACUCACCUCACAUAAAUACAGGUAAAUCACACUUAAAGGUUAGAGUGUUUACAGGUAGAUCAUCCUCCUCUGCGACUCAUCAAUUGUGUCAUCGAUUUGGUUUACCCUCAGCUUCUUUUUUAUUGAUUGAUUAUAACUUUUUAAUAUAUCAACGACUAUAAUUAUUUACAUUAUAUAUAUAUAUAUAUAUAUAUAUAUAUAUAUAUAUAUAUAUAUAUUUCAAAGUCUAAAUUAGUAAAUGUGCACUUUUUUAUUUGGACAAAAAAGUCAUUCACCUUUAUUAUUUAAAACUAUUACAUUGAGGGUUACUUUUGUAACUUUAUUAUAAAAUAAUGGCUAAAAUAUGGUUUUAGCCCAUGUAAAUAUGUCUCGUUUUAGUUUUAGUCCAUGUAAAAAAAAAUUGUUUUUGGUCCCUGCAAAAUUUUUUGUUUUUGAAAAUAGUUCCUCAGGGACUAUUUUCAAAAACAAAACAUUUUGCAGGGACCUUUUUAAAAAACAAAAAAUUUUGCAGGGACCAAAAACAAAAUUUUCUUUUUACAGGGACUAAAACCAAAACGAGACAUAUUUGCAGGGACUAAAACCAUAUUUUAACCUAAAAUAAUUGUUAACUUGCAUCACUUAGCUAAUUACUUAGAUCCACUUUUGUUAUGAACACAACAAUUACAAACAUUAAACAACUAAAAAAAAGACAAAAUAUUUGUGUUUUUAGUAAAGACAAAAUAUAGUUAACUUGCACCACUUAGCUAACUUAGACUCACUUUUAAUUUUUUUUUUAUUAAUUAAAUGCAAUUGAAAAAAAUAACCUUCUAUGAAAAACAAUUGGAAUAUGGGUAAUUGAAUUUUAUUUUUUUUUCAAAUAAAAAUGUGAGCACUACUAGAAAAAGCUAAGAUACCGACGAAAUUUAGAGACGGAAUUAGAGACGGAAAAAAUCAAUGAGAGAAGAAAAUAAGGUGUUUAAAAUUCAUUAUCUGGUAGAACAGGUCUCGUGCGGUUGUUUCAGCGGGGUUGAUUUAGUCCUCAAUCCGAAGCUUCAUUACACUUGAAGCUUCUUAGUCGUGUUGUGUAGAAAUUAAACCUUAAUAUUUUGACUCAAAGCUCGUCAUGUGUUACUAAUAUCUAUUUCUAUUAAGUAUAUAUUUGUAUAACUGUGCUACAAUCUAUCAAUGGAUAUAAUCUAUCCACCUGUUUAUUUUAUAAAGAUUAAUUAUAUGAUUGUUUUAAUACAAAUAAAGACCUUAAAAGUUAAAAAAGUUAUACUCCAUAUUUCAAUACUCAAAUUUCAUGGUUGUCCAAGUAAGUUGUAACAUAUACUCAAAUUUCAAAAUAACAAUUCGUUAUUCAACAAAUUUGAAAAUGAUGCAAUGAUAAUGACAUAUAAUCAUCUUAACAUCAAAAAUAUAGCACAUGUAGUUGGAAAAAAAAAAAAAAAAAAAACGCAUGUCAAAAGUGUGUACAUUUAAGAUCGAUAAGUCAUUGUAGGAGUAAACCUAGCCACUUGUUGUACAUACAAUAUGAUAUAGAUUUUGAGAAAUGUUAUUUGUACAACUAUUUUGUGACAACUUUCUCUUUCAUACUCACAUUAUAUUCUUACUCUUUCUCAUCCUUUUUCUCUCUCCAUUAUUUUUGACCAAUACCAAAAGAGAAAAAGAAGGUUGUCAUGAAAGUUGUAUCAAAUGGUUAGCUCGAAAGAUUUGUAUGUUACUUUACCACAUGAUUUUUUUUUCGAACAAGUCAAAAUGGAAUAUUAUAUCAUCAAAGAUGGUUCAUCUCGCAUAAGGUAUGCAAAAGAGAAACACCCACCAAAAAAUACAGCUAGAUGUCUGGUGCCAUAAAAGAGCACUCCUGAAGAAAAACAGAAUAAAACAAGGCUACAAUAAAACACCCAUACAAUGUAAAGGGUGCCGCCAACAGUCAUGGUAACUAAAAGCAUAAGUAGACUUGUUUGCCUUUAACCAAGAAAAAGACAUCAAUUUAAUAUUUUCCCAAUAAUUAAUUAUUACACCUCUCUUUAAAUAUAAUAUAUUCUUAAGUAGUUUUUUUGUCUUUGUUAUAUGACCAUUAAUUUGUAUAAUUUUAUCCCAAUUAAUUUAUAUUUUUAAUUAAAUUAAAGAUGCAUCUAGUAUAACUUCUGAAAAAUGGUUAAAGAGUUGAACAUCACGUCCUUAAGGAGCAUGAACAAACUUCUUAAAAAUGGUUAAAGAGUAUGAAUGUCAACAUGUAUCUAUCAACCAAUUUUUUAAUCAAACUAACCUGUUCCAUAUGAACAUAACCUCAGAUAUGGACCAGCUCCAUGCAUGAGUGUGAGUUAGCUUAAAACUUAUGUUAUAUCUAUCAUUCUUUCUAAUAAUUUUAUUGAAUGAAUUCUAUUUUGCCCGUGCAAAAAAAGAAGUAAAAAUGAACCUUCUAGGAGAGCAAGGAAAAAAUUACUGGUUAAUGGUGAUUUUGACUGGUUUCUUAACUAUGAAGUUAUGACCUUGCACCAACGUUAAGGACUAAGUAUUUGAUCUAUUAAAUUAGGGUUACGAAAGCUCUAGUUUUGCUAAAUUAUGAAAAUACUAGUUUUGUUUAUAAUAGUGAUCAGAGGUAUAUAUCAAGACAUGUAUAUUGAUUUUGCUAAAUACUACUAAAUUGGUGAAAUUGGAAUUCCUAAAGUUUAAUAUCCCUAUAUUAGACGAUCAUAUAUCAAGACAUGUAUAUUGAAUUUGCUAACUUUGAAAACAGCAUACAAACCAAUAUAUUAAAAUAAGAGCAGUGUCAACAUUUUCUGGCAAAUAAGCUAACUUAUUCUUUUGUUUACAUUUCAUUUCAAAUUCAUACCCAACUUGGGACGCAUUGGUCCAAAAAGCAUACUCACUAAUUCAAAGGCAAUCCAUUUUUUUAAUAAUAGCUGCAUGUAUCAUAAUACUUUUCACAUUUGUAAACUUAAUUUUCAAAGGCAACCAAGAUGAAUAGUUGAGGUAAAUUGGACAAAGAAAAAACCAUAUACAAAUACGUCUAUUCCUCUCCACCACCACCACCACCACCACCAUCUAAGCCAUACAAAUACGCUUCUCCACCACCACCAGUUUACAAAUACAAGUCCCCACCUCCACCCGUCUACUCACCACCACCACCACCAGUUUACAAGUACAAGUCCCCACCUCCACCACCAGUUUACAAGUACAAGUCCCCACCUCCACCCGUGUACUCACCACCACCACCACCAGUUUACAAGUACAAGUCCCCACGUCCACCCGUUUACUCACCACCUCCACCAGUUUACAACUACAAGUCCCCACCUCCACCCGUCUACUCACCACCUCCCCCGGUUUACACGUACAAGUCACCACCUCCUCCCGUCUAUUCACCACCUCCACCAGUUUACAAGUAUAAGUCUCCUCCUCCUCCUGCUUACUCACCACCUCCACCACAUUAUAUCUACUCUUCACCACCUCCUCCUCCUCCUCCUUACCACCACUAAAUGGUGGUUUACGAUAGUAUCCCACCGUAUACUUCUUCCUAUGUACAACCCACACAAAAUACAUAAUAUUUAAAAUAUUUUUAUAUAAUUCAAUUACAGUGCUUAUAAUAUUAAUCCGAUAAAUAUCUAGUUGGGCAUAGCUUCAAAUAAAAAAAUUUGGUAACACACAUAAAUGAUAAAAUUUACCAGAUAAAAAUUUAGUGACAUCAUAUCCUUUCUUUUUUAAAUUUUAUCAUUGAUGUGUGUGCGUUUAAAUAAAGUGUUGUUGCUUUUGGAAAUAGGUUUAAAUGCGAAACUACAUAUACCUUUUAAAGUUUUAAUUUAAAAAAUUGGAUUGUUAAAAUAUUAUCAUUGGCAAUUUGUAACAAAAAAAAUGAGACCUGAUGCAGAAGGUGAGUCAUGAGGUCAUCCACUAUACAAUAUGAUCACAUUAUGAUCUUAUUAAUUUUGUUUGAUUUAAAAUUUCAAGCGAUUAAUAAUCCUAAUAAACAGUUUUAGCUAGAUUAUAUAAUGUUUAAGGCAAAACCAUUUUCUUAAUGAAAGAUAUUGAUAUAUUUAUGUGUACAUAUACUUUGCAGGGUUUGAGGAAUAUAAUGGAAAUAAUAAAGAGAAGACAGUGCAAAGCAGGAAAGAUGCAUCAAUUCACAAUUAUAUAGCACAAUAAAAACAACAACCUAAGCAGUUUCCACGCACUCUGAUUCAGAAAAUGUCACUCCUUUUUUCUUCAUUUUAUUUAUGAGAUUAUUAUUCUCAUUAUUGUGCUUUGAUGUUUGAAUUUAUACUGUUGUAAAGCACUGUGUGUAAUAUUAUUCAAAUAAAUAGAGAACGAUUCUGAAAUUUGUCAUAUUGUAAAGAAUUGAAUAUAUACGGUGGCAGAGCCAAUAAUUUUAUCGAGUUUGAAUAAAAAAUUUACCGCAGAUUCACAUGCGACAUAAUAUAUAAAUAGUCAUAAAUCGAAAUAAAAUAGGCUCAUCAUUUUAUCGAUAAAAAUUACAAUUUAUUUGAAAUAAGAAAGAUGAAACAUAACCUGUCAAUAAUGUGCUAAAUAAAAUUAGAAGGUAAAUGCCCUUCCCGAGACCUCUUUGCGGUGAAUGUUCGAAUAAUAUCAACAACAUCAAGUGACUUGAAUUUCUCCCACUCGGUGUAACAUAUCAUCAAGUCAUUGAACCACACAAUGUUGAUCUUGUUGGUAACAAUUUUUUCUCACGGGCUUAUAAGAUUAUUUUACCAGCUUAUUGACAGGGCUUGAUAACUGAUGGACUUUCAACUUUUGUUGAUGUUUGUAAUAACUUUGGCGCACCCGCUAUUGUUGAAGAUCCACAAAUUAGAAGUUAAAAUCUGAUUCAUUAUGCUUUGAUGUAGAAAUGAUUGUAAGUUUUUUUGGGUAUGAAGUGAUUGUAUGUCUUUUUUUUUUGUCUAAUAAGCUAUUAUAAAUAGUGAUUCAAAUUUUGUUACCAUAAAUUAAAUGAGCAAUGGAGUAUAUGUAAAUUUUGAUUUAUGCGAGUAUUGAGUAUUUCCGUGAGUAUUGGUUUGGAUGAAUGGUAUAAUAGUUCAUAGUUAGGGAGAAUUAUUCUAAUUAAGCCACUUCAAGAAUUUAUUCUAAAAAUUGAUUAUUGUAAUCAAUUUUAAAUUCCAAUAAUAUUGAUUAUAAUAUUUUAUUAUAUUUAUUAAACUAAUUUUAGUAGUAAUUUUAUGAAUUAUUCCUUUUUAGAAUUUAUAGUAGAAUAGAAAAUAUAAAAUAAAAUAAAACAAUGAUAAGAUUUAGUGACAGCCGCAACCGCAGGUAUAGGUCCGUAAUGUUUUUAAAAUGGUCUACUUGGAAUUACAUACGUUUUGUCCGUAGGUAAAGGUGGAAAAUAUGCAGCGACAUCCAUUUGACAAUGACAGACGGAUUUAGCUACGGAAAUUUAUCCUAGAGUGACGGAUUUUUGUUGUCACUACAAGUUAAAUUUCUUGUAGCGAUACAAAGAAAGUAUCGGUUAAGCCCGGGCAUGUACCCAGACUAGAUGGGUUGUAAAACCGCUCCUGAAAAUAUACAGAAUACAUGCAUGAUUCAAAAACUAUCUAAUUUUUCUGGAAAAAAGGCUAAACUGCAGUUUUGACCUCCUAACUUUGUAAAUGUUGGGAUUUUGGCCCCCUUUUAAAAAAAUGAAAAUUUUCCUCCCCUAUGUUUUAGCCCCUUUGCAAAAGUGACCAUUUGGUCAAUUUUGACCGGGUCAACACGGAGGUGGCACUUCAUUAAUGGUGCGGGCACGCUACAUGUGUAUUUCGCAAAUUUUUUAAAUCAAAAUGCCACUUGUGUAUUUACUUGAAUUAAGAAAAAAAAAACUAUAUAAAGGUCUUGCACGUGUGAAGUCUUUCAGAUUCUAGGGUUAAAAAAUUUCCCAAAUAUUAACAUCAAUGAAAAACCACAAACCCCUAAGUUUCCAAAUCAAAUCUUCAUCCAUAAUCUCCUUCCCAAAUUGUUUCUGAAUUCGAAUAUCCUUCAUAAAUCGAUUGUCAGGUUUUUCUUCAUCUUUGUUUGUUGCGAAAAUGAAAUGGGUUGAAGAUGGAAAGGCGGCGACGAGUACAGGUUCGAAGAAGAAGAAGAAUAAAGAUGCGACAGGGAGUACAGGAACAAAGAAGAAGAAGAAGGAUGCGACAACGACUAAAGGUUCAGAGAAGACGAGAGAUUUGAAUAUGGAAGUUCAAUCAACUCAAGGAAACAUGUUCAAUGGAAAGAUUCCCGACAUGGAUGCUUCAUAGUAAGCGUUUUUUUGUUUUCAUAUGUCUAUUAACUAUAAAGUAAAGCUCAUGUUACAUUAUUUCUGAAUAAAAAAGGGUUGUUGGACCCAGAAACAGUUGAAGAUGAAUGGUUACAUGCCAUUUUUCGUUUUCCGAUCUGCAAACACACAAAACAAAUCGACCUGGAAGAAAGGAUGUAGAGGAAGAAUCGAUUUCAGAUAGGUAAUGUGAAGGAUGGUUGAAGAAGAUGAAGUUUCGAUUAUGGAGAAGAAUGGAUGAAGAAGAGCGAAUGAAGAAGAAAGGUUGAAGAAUUGGGGGUUUUUAAGGUUGGAGAUUUUUACCGUUGGAACUCUCACGUGCCAAUCCUUUAUCUAUUAUUUUUUUUAAUUCAAGUAAUACAUAGGUGGCAUUUUUAUUUUAAAAAAAAUGGCAAAAUACACAUGUGGCGUGCCAACACCAUUAAUGAAGUGCCACCUCCGUGUUGAUCUGGUCAAAAUUGACCAAAAUGUCACUUUUUCAAAGGGGCUAAAACACGGGGGGAGGGGGGGCAAAAUUUUGAUUUUUUUUUUAAUAGGGGGACAAAAUCGCAACAUUGACAAUGUUAGGGGGGACAAAAUCUGCUCCUUUCCGUCCCUUUGGUUUCGAUAAGAGUGGUUAAGUACCAUAUUGAGUGGUUUUAAUCGAGCGAUUAAGCCAUAUCUUUUAGGUGUAUAUACUCGAACAAUUACAUAUUGUGCAAUACGUGAUUGAAUAGUGAUAUGAGCUGUUUUAUUCUGGAGGCGACGCGGUUGUUAGUCUACAUUGCACAAACUUGGGUAGUGCCGCGAAACGUCUUAAAGAGAGCGACCUGGUCGUGACUCAACCUGAUAAUUUAUUCGGUACUAGUUUCUGAUUUGUAAUCUCAACAAAUAUCUCAUGAGCUAUAUUCUUCGGUAGUAGGCUUCAGUUUAUGUCCAACAAUAUAAAUAGGGGGAUUCGAAGAAUCCUAACCGUUGCUUACUUUUCUGUAACCAAAACAGGUAACUUGCUAUGUUGCAAACAGAUAAACAUUGCAAUCUCUAACCUUUAAACUCUUUUAUUUUAUAUCGUCACCUUAAAAUAAGUAACGUGAAUUGUUAGGACGAAAUGACAAUCCAUGUGGAUACGAUACUGUACUUAUCACUUUAUUACUUGGUAAACGAUUUGGUACACUUGCAUAAUCCGCACAUCAAUAAUCUUUGUUUGUUAGAAGUUUCUUGCUUGUAUGCUUGAGCAUUGAAAGUCUCUUGCUUGUGUGGCUGAGCAAUUGUAAUCUUGUAUGAUUAUAGUAAAAAAUCUCUUGUAAGUGACAAGGGUAUUAAACUACUUCGGGAUUGAUACCUUGAAACGCUUACCAGAAGGCCAUCGACAUAUAAAUAGACUUUACACAUCUUGUGCUCCAAUGUGUACCUUUAAUAUAAGUCAUUUUGCCUAUUAAAAAAGCAAAGAUGAAUUGAUUUAAAAGUUAACAAACCCAAGUCACACCUCAUCAAGGAACAAAAAGUCAGCAUUUACUUAGCAUUCAUAUAUCAAGACUUUUGGGUUAGGUUAGGCAAUUGUACCACAUCAGGAACAUUUAGAAGAGGCCAAAAAAUAAGGUUAAUUAAAUAAUGCAAAGGCUCUAAUUCGAACUACUUUGACUCUUUGUGUGGAUUUUAGGUAUGUUUGGUGGGUAACCUAUAUCAUUCAAUCAUUCCCAUCAUAUCAUAUAAUUAAAUAAAUCCCACUUAAUAAAAUUGAGAAUCAUGUUCAUGAUCAAGUUGGUGUAUGCUUAGAACAGUCUCAUGGUAUAAUUAAUUUGUCCCUACUGAACAAAAUCAUAAUUUAGAAACAUUCAUAAAUUAUAAAUAAUAAUACAAUCUUAGUCAUUUAUUAAUCAUAUCCUCAAUUUUGACCUGCAAUAGGAGCUAGCACACAGCUAGCGCAGAAAUAUAUUUUUUCCAAAUUCAUGUCUGUUACUUAUAGUUGUCAAAAAAAAAAAAAAUGUCUAUUACUUAUAGAGACAGAUCAAUUAUUUAUUUUUUACAAGGACAAAAUUCAUACUUAAAAUUAUAAGACUAAAAGUAUAUAAAAUACUUUAAUUAGAGUCUAUCAUUGACUAAGGUAAAGGUUAGAGUUUUUACAGGUAGAACAUUCCAUCAACUGUGGUUUACCCUCGACUUCUUUUUUAUUUAUUUAUUGAUUAUAACUUUUUAAUAUAAAAACAACCAUAUUUUUUAAAUACAAAUAACUAUAAUCAGUUUUCUUAUUUAUUUGCAGCUUAAUUCAGUUGGUUUGAAUAAUGCAUAAUAUAUGCAAGGUCCGUGGUUCAAAUCCCGGCCACCACAAAAAAAAAUGUAUUGUAAAAAAAAUGUAUAAUAUAUAUAUAUAGACACACACUAUAUCUUUUUCAACUUUUUUGGGCUGACUUUUUCUAUUUCUAAAAAUGUCUUCAAUUUUCAAUACAAAAACACAUGUAACAAAUAGAUAAGAACAAACGUAAAUAUUAAAAAAAUGUAACAAACUCGAUAUGAAUAUAUAUAUAUGUGUGUGUGUGUGUGUCUGGUUUUUUCCUUUAUCAUUUAAAAAGUGUAACAAAUAGAUGAGUAUAUUUAUACUUACUUUUUCAUUAUCUCAAUUAUAUCUUUAAACAAUUUUUUUUUCUAUAAUAAAGAUUGUUGUUUUUAUCAUUAAAAAAAAAUUAGAUUAUAUUUUUUUUGUUAUAUUGUUGGUGUCAUUGAAAUAGAUAAUCAUUGUUAGUUUGAUUUGUUAUAACUUAAAGCAACAAACAUUUAUGUUUUGUUAGAAUAAAAAUCAAAAUUUAUUAAAAAAAACAUGCGUUCAUAAAUUGCAAUAAAAAGAAGGGAAAUAGAUGAGUUUGAACAGACUUUUUCAUUACUUGUUUUAACCUUCAUUUAAAAUAUUUUAUUUACAAUUUUAUCAUUUAAUAAUAUUAUUUUAAAUUUUAAUCAAAAAAUUGAAUCCUAUUAAAAUAGGAAAUAUGCCACUACAAUAGAAACAAUAUUAUCAAUAUUAUAUAAGAAGAGGAUAGAUAUUUUGAGCUGAAUUUUUAUAAUUCCAAUUAUAUUCUUAAACAAAUUUUCUUAUAUUAAUGUUAUAUUGUUGGUGGUAUUAAAAAAUAGUAUUUAUGUUAUAUUUGUUAAAUUAUUAUUAUUAUUGAAAAAGAUAACAUGUUUUUCUGAGUUUAUACUUAUAAUUUUGUUACAUACUCUCGUUUCUUGUUUUUUUUUAUUAAAUAUAUAUAAACAACGGAAGUGACCCUUCCCGUAUAAGAUGUGUUAAGGAAGGUCAACUAGAGUUUGUACAAAGACAGCAAAGCCAAAAACAUAGGAGAACUGCCGCAAAACACGAAAGAUAUAAUAAAUAAGGGUUGUUUUUUCUUUCUUUAAAAAAAAAACAAAAAGAAAUAAGGGUAGUGUUAACUUGUGCUUUUAAGACACAAGUUAAGAAUUUAAAAAUGGAAUUAAAUCAUAAAUUAUGUCUUGAAAAGAUAAGAUUUUGAAUUUCUAGAAUAUUGAAUGCACAAUUUUCAACAAAAUAUUUCUAUUUUUAGUUUCUUAACUUGUGCCUUGAGUACAAAAAUUAACAUUUCCUUGCAAAUAAAUGCCCAAACAAAAUAAAUGUAAGUAUACUCUCGUUUCUAGUUUGUUUAAUAUCUAUUUCUAUCAAGUAUAUAUUUGUAUACUUUAUGCUACAAUCCAUCAAUGGAUAUCAUAUAUACAUUCACCUGUUUAUUUUAUAAAGAUUAUGGAACAAUUAUAAACACAAGGAAAAAGUAGAAAACAGCGAGAGAAAGAAAGAGAGAACACAAAAUAAUUUGUUUACCCAGUUCGGUUCAAAUUGACCUAGUCCGAGGCAGAGAGCAGCCCUCCGUUCCACUAUAAUGAUGAGUAACUUUACAAAAGAGAUAUCAAUGAGUUACAAGAAUAAGUCUCCAAACCUAAUUGUACCCAAAGUCUCAAUCUCUUCCCGUGAACAAGAGACUCAAUCCUAAUAGUGUUUCCCAAGGUGAAUCAACAACAACCCUAGUUUCUCCCGCUUAGAGAAAUCUCUCUAAAACCUUGGUUUGUUGUCUGUUUCUAAACCCUUGUUUUCAGCCCCUUCUAUCUCAAGGUUUACAUGUGAUACAAGGUUUAUAUUUAUAGUAAAAGUAAUCGCUAAAAAAUUGGAACAAAUCUCACGCUGAAAAGUACAUUUUAUUUUUAUGCAUCAGUGUAAAAUCGUACUACGAUUUUCCAAAUCGUAUUUCGAUUUUUCCAAAAUGGAAGUGCCAAAUCUGAUCCAAAAAUCGUACUACGAUUUUCCAAAUCAUGCUACAAAUUUGACAGCUUCCAGAUUUUAAUUUUGAGUCACUUUUACAACAAAGACCUUAAAGUUUGUGGUAUUAUAUACUUAAUAUAAUACUCCCAUGGCAACCUGAUUAGCUCCCUUGUUAUUAGAAAGUUACACGCAAUUUCAGGGUUUGGUUGUAUUAUAUCCUGUCCAGCUAAGUUGUAACAUACUCAAAUUUCCAAAUAAAAAUUCGUUAUUCAACAAAUUUGAAAAUGAUGCAGUGAUAAUGACAUAUAAUCAUCUAACACAUGUAAUCAUAUAACCAGUUUGGCUAGGUGAUACUUAUGGUAGUUGGACAAAAAAAAUAUCACAUGUCAAAUGUGUGUACAUUUAAGAUUGAUAAGUCAUUGAAUGAGAAACUUAGCCACUUGUUGUACAUACAAAUAUUUGUACAACUUUUAGAUAAUUUUCUAUUUUAUAUUCACAUUAUAUUUUUACUCUUUUUUUUUCUUUUUUUUCUUUAUUGUUUUUUAUCAAUAAAAAUAGAGAAAAUGAAAAUUAUCAAAAAUAUUGUAUCAAAUGGUUGUUCAAAUAUUAUUGCUCAAAAUAUACAAUAUGAUAUAAUUUUCCAGGAUCGAAAGAUCUAAAUAUGUUCCUUUCCCACAUAAUUAAUUAUUACACCUGUCUUUAAAUAUAAUAUCUUUUUUUUUUUUAAUUUUUAGUAGUUCUCAUGUCUUUGUUAUACGACCGUUAAUUUGUAUAAUUUUAUUUCCAUUAAUUUAUAUUUUUUUUAAUUAAAUCAAAGGUGCAUCUAAUAUACUUUUUUUUUAAGAGGCUAAAAUGAAAUACAUUACCAAAACAAGAUAUUUUUCCUAGCACAAGAUGUACAAAGGAAGAACAAUAGAGUCAAUAGAAUAUGUACAAUCAAGCAGAAAGAAAGCACCAGAGACCUAUAAGCAUGAAACAGAACUAAGUAGUGCCCAAAAUAACUAAUGGACUAAGCAACAAACCAUGAAAAUUAAACGAAAGAGAGACAAGUUUCGCCUUCAACCACGUAAAGGAAAGAACCUUAAUCUAAUAUAACUUCUUAAAAAUAGUUAAAGAGUUGAACAUUACCACCUUAAAGAGUAUGAACAAACUUUUUAAAUAUGGUUAAACAGGAUGAAUGUCACGUAUUUACAGUACAUAUAUCUUUGGUUUUUAUAUGUGUUUAGUCUCUGUAUAUGGGGUCAUUUAAAAAAUUAAUCAUUUAAAAUGGUCUCUACAUUCCUUCAUUAUGACAUUUUGCCCUCCCAAAAAUUAAUCAUUAAAAAUUUGGUCCCCCCUACUCAAUCACUGUCACGUCACUGGAUUAGCUGACGUGGUACAUUGACUCAGCAAAGUUUGAUGUGAAGUGACAAAAAUAGCCCUAACACUCUGUUUGGUAUGAGAGAAUUACAGCAGAGAGAGAUAUUGAAGAGAGAAAGAGAAGAGAAAUAUGGUAUUUCUCUUGUUUGGCAAAGGCAAGAAAGAGGGAGGAGAGAUAAGUUUUGCGUGGGAUCCACGUGUUUUUUGUUCGCCCCUAUAAACGAAGAAAGAAGAAAGAGGAGAGAAAUAUACAUUUACUCCCUUUGCCUUUUAUACCCUUCAAUUUAAGACACAACACACCUUUUUUUUUUCUCAUUACUUUGUUUUUAUUCUUAAUAGGCUUAUCUAAAAAUUAUUUCAAGGACAUUUGUACUUUAAAAAAAAAAAAAUUGAAGAAGCUAAACUAACCCCCUCAAAUUGGCACUAGAGAGAAUCGAACUUGAAACCUUGAGGAGGAGCACACUCCCAGGUCCCAAGCCAAUACCACUAGGCCAACCCAAGUGGGUUUGUACUUUUAAAAAUUAAUCACACUUCUCUCUCUUCUAUUUCUCUUAAUUUUAACCAAACAAUACCUUAAAUCUAUUCUAUUUUUCAUUUUUUUCUCUCUUCUCAUACUCUCUCUCACCUAUUUCUCUCUUCUCAAUUUCUUCUUUCAACCAAACACACCCUAAGUAAUUUCGCUGCCCUCUUAUGGAAGGAGGGGCAUUUACUUUACAAGUAAAUAAAGUAUCUUUUUUAAUUUAAAAUUUCCUCUUUAUGGUUUUCUUAACUAAUGUCCUGGGUAGGGCUAGACAAGGACCCGCGACCCGGCCCAACCCGAAAAAACCGAAGAAAAAAAACCGAGCUGAGUGGGUUAAAGCAGGUCCGCGGGUCAAACGUGUCAUAAAUGCGGGUUCACAAGGGUAUACAUGGGCAGAGGCGGGUAACGGACCUUCACCUGCGGGUACCCGAACCCGCCAGUAUUGGAUAAGUAAAAACGACGUCGUUUUGAAGAGUGGGGAGACCACUAACCCUAGAUCUAACCCAUUCAUUUCAUUUCUUCUAAAAAAUUCUCUCAUUCACCUCACACUCUUUCACCUUCCUCUUCAAACCCUAGUGCCGCCGCCGCAUCUAACCACCACCACCACACCAUCAAAUCCUCCUACCAACAUGAAUCACCACUUUCCAACUUGAUUCCCUUUGUUUUACGCCGUUCUCUGUCAAUCCACGCAGAAAAAUGGAGGCAGAUCCUGAAACUCUCUCUCACUCUCAGUAGCUAACACCACUGUAGAACCGUAAAUCGCCGUCGUUUUUGUUUCAUGAAUCACGUCUCUGCUCUGCAUAUGCUUCAGAUCUAAAGGUUAGAUAUUUUGUUUUUAAUCUUUGUAAUUUUUUAUUUUUAUUUAGGGUUUAUGAGUGUCUCACCACAUGCUUUUGUUUUUGUUUGAUGAUUCACAUCCAUGCUCCGCGUAUGCUUCAAAUCUGAAGGUUGGUUUUUGUUACAUUUUUCAUAUUUUGUGCUUUGAUUUUUUCAAUUCUUGCUUCUAACAUUUUUUUUUUGUUUCAAUCUCAUCUCUGCUGCUUAUGCAUUUGCUGAAGAUUUUUUUUUUGUUUCAAUCUCAUUUUCUCAGACCGGCUUAGGAAACUUCCAUAUCACUGAAUAUUUUUCCAGAUCCGAGAGGUAAUCUUCCUUCUUGACAUCUAGAUCUGAGAGGUAAUGAUUUAUCUUAAUAUAUUUAGUUUUGUAUUUGUUGAGUUUAUCUAUGUCUUUGAUGUAUAUUUUGUUGAGUUUAUGCAUGAUUAUUAAUGUCUAUAGCUUCUGACUUGAUUAUGUUUAUGCAUACUUUGUUGAUUCUUAUACUUCUUCCUUGGAGUUCAUUUUUUCUUUGUUUCUUUCUUAUCCUAAUGGUUUGUUGUUUAUCUAUUUAUUUUGUUUGUAGUAUUCUAAUGGUCCAUUAAUUAUCUUGUUUGUAUAGACACAUGAAAACUGAUACUGCUAGUGUGAAUCCUUUGGCUCAAAUUCCAAUUCUAGUGCAAGGCCAAGGACCUGAACAUGCUAAGGUAGUGCUAAAACUAAAGAAAAGAAAACCUGCUAGACCUCCUUCAAUGGUUUGGAGACAUUUUAUGAAGAAAAAAGACACUGCCUUUUGUAACUAUUGCUUCACUUCUUUUGUUUCAAAUGCUUCCAACCAUCGAACUAACAACAUGCUUAAACACAUGAUGAUUUGUCCAAAAACAUGAAGGUAGUUUUUUUAUUACUCUGAGUUAUGUUGAUUUAGUAAUUUUAUUGUAACUUUGUAUUUGAUUUAGUCUAUUUUAACUCUAUUUUGGUAGAUGUCUUUGAUGUUAGUUUGCUAGUGUUAUAUUUUGUGGCUUUGAUUUAUUAGUACUAAUGUAUAUUUUUUAUAUUGUUUUUCACAGGUUAACAAUAUUCUUACUUGCUAUGAUGGUAUCUCUUGAUCUAUUGUGAAUCAAGAUAUACCAAGGAGGUGUUAUUUUUUGUUAUUCAGAUCCAGUUUUAGUAUUAUUAUAUUCAAGACCACUAUAUUUAGUUUUUUAUUUAUUAAGGAUAUGUAAAUUGUUAAACUUAUUUUUAUUGGUUGUGUAAGUUAAAUUAAGGCUCGAUAUCAAAUGGGAAAAUGAGACAUCAUCAUCCCCCUUUAACAAGCUUCUUAAAGGAAAAAAUUUAACAAAAUUAUGACAAUAUGAUCUAAGUUAAAUAAACAUACAAAAUGGUUUAAUACAAGAGAAAAUGAAACACUACAAAAUUUGUUGGGGCAGAAAUUCUAAAUGGCACAUUAAAAAUGAACAUAAAAAAUGGUCCAUUACAGUGAAAUUAAAAAUAAAUCGCAACAAAAUUAAUUGGGCCAGAAAUGGUUGAAUGACCCAUUAAUUGGUCCAACCCGUUUGAACCCAACCGUUUAACCCGUAACCCGAUUCACCCGAACCCAACCAAUCCGACUCCAUUAUUUGGGUAGAAAUGGGUGUGUAUUCUACACCCGCAGGUUGGGCUGGAGUAGAGGUUUGGACCCGAACCCGCCCGAUGUCCACCCCUAGUCCCGGGGCACUGGUUAACAUAAACCUAAAACAAAAAUAGAAAAUAAUGACCUAAGUUUUCUAAUAAUUGAUAUUUUAUUAGCUUAAAACUUUUGUUAUAUCGAUCAUUCCUUUCCACUCUUUGUUCUUGGUUGUGUUUUAAUGAAAAAAAAGAAGUAAAAAUGAACCUUCUAUGAGAGCAAGGAAAAAAUUACUGGUUAAGCCUUAUGACCUUGCACCAACUCUAAGGACAUUAAUUAUGUUAUAUAGCAAGAUAUCCUCUCAUAAAUUGGUGAAAUUGGAAUUCCUAAAGUUUAGUUUCCCUAUAUUAGACGAUCAUAUAUCAAGACAUGGAUAUUAUUUUGCUAACUUUGAAAACAGCAUACAAACCAAAAUAGUACGUAUUAAAAUAAGAGCACCGUCAACAUUUUCUAGCUAAUAAGCUAACUUACUUUAUUCUUUUGUUUACAUUUCAUUUCAAAUUCAUGCCCAACUUGGGACGCAUUGGUCCAAAAAGCAUACUCAUUUAUUCAAUGGGAAAAACUUUUUUUAAUGGGUCUUGCUGACCAUUGCUCGAUGGCAAUGGUUAAGGAAGGCAAAAGUAGCAUGUUUGUAUUGAUUUCAACAACAUUUUGACUUUUAAAAAAUUAAAUUUAUCACUUUUCACCAUUUACCAAUGCUAUAUUUCUAUUUUUAUCCACUUAUCCAAUGCGCCAAACGCAAUGAUUAGCGUUCUCAUUUUUUAAUAAUAGCUGCAAUGUUACAUAAUCGUUUUCACAUCUGUAUACUUAGUUUGUCUUAAAAAGACAGUCACAUUGAAUAUUUAAUUAAAAUUUUAUUUUUAUUCAAUUAUACACUAUAAUUGAUAUUAAGCGCCAUUAAAAAAAUUAUUAAGUGGAUAACAAAUUAUUAUUCACUAUAAUUUUACUAUAAUUAUUAUUCUUCACUUUGAAUUACCAAGGUAAUUUAAUAAAAUUAAUAUUCUAUGUGACGUAUUUGUAAUUACUUCCUAAUUCACGUGAAAUGAUUUACUUUGCUAGUUAUUAGAAUUUUAAUUUAUUAUAAUAUUUUUCUUUUUGCUGUUGGAUAAUAGGUGAAUUAUAAAAUGUGUCAAAUCAUAGUACACCAACCAAGAUGAAUUGUUGAGGUAAAAUGGAUAAAGAAAAAACUAUAUAAAGGGUACUACUAUCUUUCAUAAGAGCAACAACAAAACACACUUUAGGAAAAUAUGAGGUUCCAAAUGGCCUCCAUUACUCUUACUAUUGCAUUCACGAUAAUCUCUCUUAGCCUGCCAUCCCAAAUUUCAGCAAACAAUUACGUCUAUUCAUCUCCACCACCACCAUCUAAGCCAUACAAAUACGCUUCCCCACCACCACCAGUUUACAAGUAUAAAUCACCACCCCCACCUGUCUACUCACCACCUCCACCUGUCUACUCACCACCACCACCAGUUUACAAGUACAAGUCACCCCCUCCACCUGUCUACUCACCACCUCCACCAGUUUACAAGUACAAGUCCCCACCUCCACCCGUCUACUCACCACCUCCCCCGGUUUAUAAGUACAAGUCACCACCUCCUCCCGUCUAUUCACCACCUCCACCAGUUUACAAGUAUAAGUCUCCUCCUCCUCCUGCAUACUCACCACCUCCACCACAUUAUAUCUACUCUUCACCAC